rnacentral:rRNA from 1 species
UACAGAGGGGGCAAGCGUUGUUCGGAAUUACUGGGCGUAAAGGGCGCGUAGGCGGCCCGCUAAGUCGAACGUGAAAUCCCCGAGCUCAACUCGGGAACUGCGUCCGAUACUGGUGGGCUUGAAUCCGGGAGAGGGAUGCGGAAUUCCAGGUGUAGCGGUGAAAUGCGUAGAGAUCCGGAGGAACCCCAGAGGCGAAGGCGGCGUCCUGGCCCAUUUCUGACGUUCAGACAUGACAGCAUGGGGAGCGAACGGG